AUCUAUCUGAACCUUGUGUUUUGGACAACUCUAAUUAUCAGUGAAUAGUGAAAUAUUUAGUCUACUUUAAUUUCUUAUUAACAUGUUCUGGUUCAGAUUAUCAGCUUCGAGUGCCCUCUAGGUUUAUGCCCUAGGAGAGCAUGCCGCCAUGUCACGUGGCCGACCUAAGUAUUGGGUUUGGGGCAUGAUAGCUUAUUUGGCUAGGGGCGCAGUAAGGGUUUAACAUAUGGCACCAACAGAAGUGUUGAGCUCCAAUCUUCCAGUCAACUUUCAGCAAGUAUGAUAUUCAAGUUUUGACUUACCUGAAAUCAAUAGUUUAGAUCUUGAUUCCAUACCCCAUCCCAAUUUGCUUCAGGAUAGUACAGUACUACGGUGGGACAAUAUGGUUAGGAUGUAUUGAAAGUUUGAAACAUCCAACAACAACAUGAAGAAAGAAAGAAAAAAAAGUUGUAUCCCGAAUUGUCCCAAUGUCAGGAUGCAACCAAGACCGUCGAAAUUUCCUUAUUCAAGAGAGUGUCACUGUUCUGUAGAUGUCUCAAGUCCUGAUCUCUUGUUGGAAUGGUAC
rnacentral:lncRNA from 1 species